rnacentral:lncRNA from 1 species
GACACGAGAACCUCGGGUACUUUUGUUUCCAGCCAGUUGAAGGAAAAGUUGUGAGGAUUUCAUGCGCUAACAAAGGCGCCAUCAGUCAAGACAUCUGUGGAAGCGUGUCACUGUGUUCUUUUCCGCGGCAGACGCGACGCAGACGUAUCGAAUUUCAGCUCCCCGCAGCUCAGAUACCUCACUUUACAUAAUACAUAAUACGCCACCGUGCUUCUUCUAUACAGGAUCAAGGACCUGGAGUGUUGGGGUGACAUUAGCUGUGAUGAUACGAUGGUGUUAAACAGACCAAAAUGGCUUUGCGUUCAGCUGAACUGACAGAACCUAAAGAAGCUGGAGGCCGUAAAACGCUGGAGUGACAUAUGUGUUGGCAGGAGUGGUGGAGCUGGCACUCUGUGCAGAUGGAGACGGUGCGAGGGGAAAGUGGGGGAAGGACAUUUCUGAUACAGGCAAUCUGCUGAUGUCUGCGGGGGGCAAGAGGACCGAUUUCCACCCUGGGUGUGAAAGAUGAAGGUCUGAUGGAAUCUGUCCCCUCCAACCUAUCUGUUAAUGUCCCUGCAUCUGCUGAAUGUCUGAUCCGCAGCAGAGUUUCUGCAGGUGUCGGAUCUCUGCACUUUGAUGAAGCUCUGUGACGUUCUGCAGACUGUAAAAACACCAACCUGCAAACAGUUCCAUAAAUUAAUGAAGGCUCUUGAGACAGCAGCAGUAUGUGGAGGAGCAUUGUCCUGCUGGAAUACCGUACUGGACUGUGACCAAAGGGGAUCAACUGUUGUGCAACUAAAGCCACUUUAAUUUCUCUGAUUUUGCUAUUUAUACGUAUAUGUUUUAGUAAAAUUAACAUUGUUGUUUCAUUCUAUAAACUACAGAAACAUUUCUCCCAAAUUCCAAACAAAAAUAAUGUAAUUUAGAGCAUUUAUUAGCAGAAAAUGAGAAAUGGCUGAAGUAACAAAAAAGAUGCAGAGCUUUCAGACCUCAAAUAAUGCAAAGAAAACAAGUUCAUAAUCAUAAAGUUUUAAGAGUUCGGAAAUAAAUAUUUGGUGGAAUAAUCCUGGUUUUUAAUC